rnacentral:rRNA from 1 species
AUUGAACGCUGGCGGCAUGCUUUACACAUGCAAGUCGAACGGUAACAGGUUAAGCUGACGAGUGGCGAACGGGUGAGUAAUGCAUCGGAACGUGCCCGAUCGUGGGGGAUAACACUUCGAAAGAAGUGCUAAUACCGCAUACGAUCUGAGGAUGAAAGCGGGGGACCGUGAGGCCUCGCGCGAUCGGAGCGGCCGAUGUCAGAUUAGGUAGUUGGUGGGGUAAAGGCCUACCAAGCCGACGAUCUGUAGCUGGUCUGAGAGGACGACCAGCCACACUGGGACUGAGACACGGCCCAGACUCCUACGGGAGGCAGCAGUGGGGAAUUUUGGACAAUGGGCGCAAGCCUGAUCCAGCAAUGCCGCGUGCAGGAAGAAGGCCUUCGGGUUGUAAACUGCUUUUGUACGGAGCGAAAAGGCUCUCUCUAAUACAGGGGGCUGAUGACGGUACCGUGAGAAUAAGCACCGGCUAACCACGUGCCAGCCGCCGCCGUAA